AUACGUAGGUGACAAGCGUUAUCCGGAUUUACUGGGCGUAAAGGGCGUGUAGGCGGUCUUGCAAGUCAGAAGUGAAAUUCCUGAGCUCAACUCGGGCGCUGCUUCUGAAACUGCAGGACUUGAGUGCUGGAGGGGAUAGCGGAAUUCCUAGUGGAGCGGUAAAAUGCGCAGAUAUUAGGAGGAACACCGGUGGCGAAGGCGGCUUCCUGGGCUUUUCCUGACGCUGAGGCUCGAAAGCGUGGGGAGCAAACAGGAUUAGAUACCGUGUUAGUCCACGCCGUAAACGAUGAAUACUAGGUGUCGGGUGGCAAAGCCAUUCGGUGCCGCAGCUAACGCAAUAAGUAUUCCACCUGGGGAGUACGUUCGCAAGAAUGAAACUCAAAGGAAUUGACGGGG
rnacentral:rRNA from 1 species